AAUCAACGCUGGCGGCGUGCCUAACACAUGCAAGUCGAACGAGAAGGUGACUUCGGUCACUGGAUAGUGGCGUCCGGGUGAGUAACACGUAGGUAAUCUACCUUCGGGUGGGGAAUAACGUCUCGAAAGAGACGCUAAUACCGCAUAAUGCAGCGGCACCUAAUGGUGAUUAGUUGUUAAAGCGGGGGAUCUUCGGACCUCGCGCCUGAAGAGGAGCCUGCGGCAGAUUAGCUAGUUGGUGAGGUAAUGGCUCACCAAGGCUUCGAUCUGUAGCUGGUCUGAGAGGACGGCCAGCCACACUGGCACUGACACACGGGCCAGACUCCUACGGGAGGCAGCAGUGGGGAAUUUUGGGCAAUGGGCGAAAGCCUGACCCAGCAACGCCGCGUGAAGGAGGAAAUCCUUCGGGAUGUAAACUUCAUAAGUAAGGGAAGAAAGCUGCGGAUCGAAUAAGUCCGCAGUCCGACGGUACCUUACGUAAGCCACGGCUAACUACGUGCCAGC
rnacentral:rRNA from 1 species